rnacentral:rRNA from 1 species
AACGAACGCUGGCGGCAGGCUUAACACAUGCAAGUCGAACGCCCCGCAAGGGGAGUGGCAGACGGGUGAGUAACGCGUGGGAACGUGCCCUAAGGUACGGAACAACUCCGGGAAACUGGAGCUAAUACCGUAUGUGACCGAGAGGUGAAAGAUUUAUCGCCUUAGGAUCGGCCCGCGUCAGAUUAGCUAGUUGGUGGGGUAAUGGCCUACCAAGGCGACGAUCUGUAGCUGUUCUGAGAGGAAGAUCAGCCACACUGGGACUGAGACACGGCCCAGACUCCUACGGGAGGCAGCAGUGGGGAAUCUUGGACAAUGGGCGCAAGCCUGAGCCAGCCAUGCCGCGUGGAUGAUGAAGGCCCUAGGGUUGUAAAAUCCUUUCGCCGAGGACGAUAAUGACGGUACUCGGAGAAGAAGCUCCGGCUAACUUCGUGCCAGCCGCCGCGGGUAA